CCAAACUUGGUCAUUUAGAGGAAGUAAAAGUCGUAACAAGGUUUCCGUAGGUGAACCUGCGGAAGGAUCAUUACCAACCUUUGGUGAGCCUUGGACUCGUCCAUGGUCUCGCGAAAACAUAUGUAUUUAAAACCCGCUCAUAUAACUAAAAACAUGUAGUAAUAUGAUAAUUAAAGAUCACUUUCAACAACGGAUCUCUUGGCUCUCAGAGACAGCCAAACUUGGUCAUUUAGAGGAAGUAAAAGUCGUAACAAGGUUUCCGUAGGUGAACCUGCGGAAGGAUCAUUACCAACCUUUGGUGAGCCUUGGACUCGUCCAUGGUCUCGCGAAAACAUAUGUAUUUAAAACCCGCUCAUAUAACUAAAAACAUGUAGUAAUAUGAUAAUUAAAGAUCACUUUCAACAACGGAUCUCUUGGCUCUCGCAUCGAUGAAGAACGCAGC
rnacentral:misc_RNA from 1 species